CGCGGCCUAUCAGCUUGUUGGUGAGGUAACGGCUCACCAAGGCAUCGACGGGUAGCUGGUCUGAGAGGACGAUCAGCCACACUGGGACUGAGACACGGCCCAGACUCCUACGGGAGGCAGCGGUAGGGAAUCUUGCGCAAUGGGCGAAAGCCUGACGCAGCAACGCCGCGUGGGGGAUGAAUGCCUUCGGGUUGUAAACCCCUUUCAGCAGGGACGAAAAUGACGGUACCUGCAGAAGAAGCUCCGGCCAACUACGUGCCAGCAGCCGCGGUAAUACGUAGGGAGCGAGCGUUGUCCGGAAUUAUUGGGCGUAAAGAGCUCGUAGGCGGUUCAGUAAGUCGGGUGUGAAAACUCAAGGCUCAACCUUGAGACGCCACUCGAUACUGCUGUGACUUGAGUCCGGUAGAGGAGUGUGGAAUUCCUGGUGUAGCGGUGAAAUGCGCAGAUAUCAGGAGGAACACCAGCGGCGAAGGCGGCACUCUGGGCCGGUACUGACGCUGAGGAGCGAAAGCAUGGGGAGCAAACAGGAUUAGAUACCCUGGUAGUCCAUGCCGUAAACGUUGGGCACUAGGUAUGGGAUCAUAUCAACGGAUUCCGUGCCGUAGCUAACGCAUUAAGUGCCCCGCCUGGGGAGUACGG
rnacentral:rRNA from 1 species